UGGGGAAUAUUGCACAAUGGGCGCAAGCCUGAUGCAGCCAUGCCGCGUGUGUGAAGAAGGCCUUCGGGUUGUAAAGCACUUUCAGCGGGGAGGAAGGCGUUAAGGUUAAUAACCUUGGCGAUUGACGUUACCCGCAGAAGAAGCACCGGAUAACUCCGUGCCAGCAGCCGCGGUAAUACGGAGGGUGCAAGCGUUAAUCGGAAUUACUGGGCGUAAAGCGCACGCAGGCGGUUGAUUGAGUCAGAUGUGAAAUCCCCGGGCUUAACCCGGGAAUUGCAUCUGAUACUGGUCAGCUAGAGUCUUGUAGAGGGGGGUAGAAUUCCAUGUGUAGCGGUGAAAUGCGUAGAGAUGUGGAGGAAUACCGGUGGCGAAGGCGGCCCCCUGGACAAAGACUGACGCUCAGGUGCGAAAGCGUGGGGAGCAAACAGG
rnacentral:rRNA from 1 species